rnacentral:rRNA from 1 species
AUACGGAGGGUGCGAGCGUUAUCCGGAUUUAUUAGGUUUAAAGGGUGUGUAGGCGUGAGCCUAAGUCAGUGGUGAAAUCUCACAGCUUAACUGUGAAACUGCCAUUGAAACUGGGUUUCUUGAGUAUAGUUGAGGUAGGCGGAAUGUGUAAUGUAGCGGUGAAAUGCAUAGAUAUUACACAGAACACCGAUUGCGAAGGCAGCUUACUAAGCUAUUACUGACGCUGAUGCACGAAAGCGUGGGUAGCGAACAGGAUUAGAAACCCGUGUAGUCC